UAUGCGUAUAGUGCUAUUUAAAGCUGAAAGCCUGUUUUUCCAAUUAAAGAAUCACAGAAUGGUAGGGGUUGGAAAGGACCUUCGGAGAUCAUCUAGUCCAACCCCCCUGCCAAAGCAGGUUCCACCUAGAGCAGAUUGGACAGGAAUGUAUCCAGGAAUACAGGACGUAUGAAGAUGCCUGGGAUAACCAACCUCUCUAUCAGCAGUUUGCUAACAGCUUUUGCCAGGAUUUGACAAGGAUUUUUGUUCAUCUUGAAAAAUUGCAUAUUCUGAGGAGUUUCUUCUCAAUGCUCCCCUACACCUUGCACACCCUGCUGAGGGAAGGCAGCUUGUUUUCUGCACGGCACUUCUUCCUGAAAGAUGGUUUCAAAGCUAUGGGUUUGAUCUCUCUCUUGGUACUGAAAGAUCAUAAACAAAUAGGUCUGUCGAGUUAUUUUUCUACUGGAAGCCUUUAUGAUUCUGUCGAAGAGGAAACUGAACUAACUCAAUAAGCAAUGGACCAUAAGGCAGUAAACUGAUACAUUGUUAAUUUUUAUUGCUAAAGUUCCUUCCUACUACUCUGGUUCAAUGUGCUAUUCAUAUUUUAUUAUGCUGAUUUUUAUGCUUGCAAUGGCAAAUCCUUCUAAUAGUCUACUCAAUAUUUUCUGUCAAAACGCGUUGGCCGUAACAAGCAGCAAGGCAGGGAGCACGGCGAUGUCCUCAUCCAAAAAAACCAAGAAAGAGGCCAGACACAUUACAAAUGGACCUGCAAGUUGUUGGCCAGGGCUACCAGAGCACCUGGCUGGUUGCUCUAGGGACUUGUUGUAGAAAGGCCUUGGAAGAGGAACAUUAAAGGCCCAAUGAAGGAGGAAGCAACGCAUAUGAAAGUAGUACAAAAAAUUGUUUGUGGGAGGUGCUCAGGA